rnacentral:rRNA from 1 species
GACGAACGCUGGCGGCGUGCUUAACACAUGCAAGUCGAACGGAAAGGCCCUGCUUUUGUUUGUUGCUCGAGUGGCGAACGGGGGAGUAACACGUGAGUAACCUGCCCUUGACUUUGGGAUAACUUCAGGAAACUGCGGCUAAUACCGGAUAUAAUCUCCUGCUGCAUGUGGUUGGUUGGAAAGUUUCGGCGGUUGGGGAUGGACUCGCGGCUUAUCAGCUUGUUGGUCUGGUAGUGGCUUACCAAGGGUUUGACGGGUAGCCGGCCUGAGAGGGUGACCGGCCACAUUGGGACUGAGAUACGGCCCAGACUCCUACGGGAGGCAGCAGUGGGGAAUAUUGCACAAUGGGCGGAAGCCUGAUGCAGCAACGCCGCGUGCGGGAUGACGGCCUUCGGGUUGUAAACCGAUUUCGCAUGUGACGAAGCGUGCGUGACGGUAAUGGGUAAAGAAGCACCGGCUAACUACGUG